AUACGUAGGGGGCUAGCGUUAUCCGGAAUUACUGGGCGUAAAGGGUGCGUAGGUGGUUUCUUAAGUCAGAAGUGAAAGGCUACGGCUCUACCGUAGUAAGCUUUUGAAACUAAGAGACUUGAGUGCAGGAGAGGAGAGUAGAAUUCCUAGUGUAGCGGUGAAAUGCGUAGAUAUUAGGAGGAAUACCAGUUGCGAAGGCGGCUCUCUGGACUGUAACUGACACUGAGGCACGAAAGCGUGGGGAGCAAACAGGAUUAGAUACCCUGGUAGUCCACGCCGUAAACGAUGAGUACUAGCUGUCGGGGGUUACCCCCCUCGGUGGCGCAGCUAACGCAUUAAGUACUCCGCCUGGGAAGUACGCUCGCAAGAGUGAAACUCAAAUGAAUUGACGGG
rnacentral:rRNA from 1 species